rnacentral:lncRNA from 10 species
UCUGUUGGUCCUUGCUGCUUAUCUAUUCUACGUGAAGAUACUCAUACAAUAGAAGACAGCCAGGAAGAGUCUUUGAAAGUCAAUACCUGUUUUUCUUAAAACUUUACUCUGCUAGAAAAUCUUAUCACUGGUCAACAAUCUUAUCACAUAAGAAAACACAUUAAACUUUAAAACAAAAUUGAUUUCAAUAGACUUAAUGGAAACAUCUUUAUGCAGACUUUUACUGUCUAUUUGGUACCAAGGUGAGAAGAAAAGAUUGUCUUCCUCUGUAAAUCUCGAAUGGGUCUGUUACUUUGACUUUUCUUUAUCUAGGACAUGAGAAAAUUGUAUAUCUUUUGGGUAAAAUUCAAAAACAAUAUCAAGGUAUCUUAUUUCCUUACCUUGGCAAUGAAGUCUUAGUAUGCGAACAAUACUCUAUGUUACUAUCUUAAUUGAAGUGAUAUGAACCACAUCUAUUAAUUUGAUUUGAUUGUUACAACUGGGAUACUAAUAUAAGAUUGCUUAUUCAUUUUAUUACCAAUUGUUGACAAAAACAUAAAUAUAUGAACAAAUUUAUAUGAAUAUAUUCAAAUAAUCCUCUAGAUUCCAUGUAUAAUAUUCUGCUAAAGCAAUUGACGUAUUUCAAGUUCUUUUUAGAAAGAGAUUAAUGAAAUAUAAUGUAAAGUGGGGGACUUUUGCUGCUUGAAAGAAUGGCAAUUUUUAAAAGUACAGGUAAAUAUACCACCGCAAUUUUAUUACCUCUGUGUUUUCUAGGUAAUUCUUACAGAAGUUCUAUCCUAAGCCAUUAUAUUAUAAUUUCAUAGGAAAAUCAGUUCCCUUGGUUUUGCUGAAAUAUGGUUUCUCUGUUUGCUGAAAUAAAGUUUUUGUUAAUUAGAAAUAUAUAUUUCAUAUUUGGACUAUAUUAGUCAGGGUUUUUCAG